GAUGAACGCUGGCGGCGUGCCUAAUACAUGCAAGUCGAGCGAACGGACGAGAAGCUUGCUUCUCUGAUGUUAGCGGCGGACGGGUGAGUAACACGUGGAUAACCUACCUAUAAGACUGGGAUAACUUCGGGAAACCGUAGCUAAUACCGGAUAAUAUUUUGAACCGCAUGGUUCAAAAGUGAAAGACGGUCUUGCUGUCACUUAUAGAUGGAUCCGCGCUGCAUUAGCUAGUUGGUAAGGUAACGGCUUACCAAGGCAACGAUGCAUAGCCGACCUGAGAGGGUGAUCGGCCACACUGGAAGUGAGACACGGUCCCGACUCCUACGGGAGGCAGCAGUAGGGAAUCUUACGAAAUGGGCGAAAGCCUGACGGAGCAACACCGCGUGAGUGAUGAAGGUCUUCGGAUCGUAAAACUCUGUUAUUAGGGAAGAACAAAUGUGUAAGUAACUGUGCACAUCUUGACGGUACCUAAUCAGAAGGCCACGGCUAACUACGUG
rnacentral:rRNA from 1 species